UUCCUACUGGGCGCAGCAGUGGGGAAUAUUGCACAAUGGGGGAAACCCUGAUGCAGCAACGCCGCGUGAGUGAAGAAGGUUUUCGGAUUGUAAAGCUCUGUUAGCAGGGAAGAGGAAGGACGGUACCUGCAGAAAAAGCAUCGGCUAACUCCGUGCCAGCAGCCGCGGUAAUACGGAGGAUGCGAGCGUUAUCCGGAUUUAUUGGGUUUAAAGGGUGCGCAGGCGGAAGAUCAAGUCAGCGGUAAAAUUGAGAGGCUCAACCUCUUCGAGCCGUUGAAACUGGUUUUCUUGAGUGACCGAGAAGU
rnacentral:rRNA from 1 species